rnacentral:rRNA from 1 species
UGGGGAAUAUUGGACAAUGGGGGCAACCCUGAUCCAGCCAUGCCGCGUGUGUGAAGAAGGCCUUUUGGUUGUAAAGCACUUUAAGCAGGGAGGAGAGGCUAAUGGUUAAUACCCAUUAGAUUAGACGUUACCUGCAGAAUAAGCACCGGCUAACUCUGUGCCAGCAGCCGCGGUAAUACAGAGGGUGCGAGCGUUAAUCGGAAUUACUGGGCGUAAAGCGAGUGUAGGUGGCUCAUUAAGUCACAUGUGAAAUCCCCGGGCUUAACCUGGGAACUGCAUGUGAUACUGGUGGUGCUAGAAUAUGUGAGAGGGAAGUAGAAUUCCAGGUGUAGCGGUGAAAUGCGUAGAGAUCUGGAGGAAUACCGAUGGCGAAGGCAGCUUCCUGGCAUAAUAUUGACACUGAGAUUCGAAAGCGUGGGUAGCAAACAGGAUUAGAUACCCUGGUAGUCCACGCCGUAAAACGAUGUCUACUAGCCGUUGGGGUCCUUGAGACUUUAGUGGCGCAGUUAACGCGAUAAGUAGACCGCCUGGGGAGUACGGCCGCAAGGUUAAAACUCAAAGGAAUUGAC